GACGAACGCUGGCGGCGUGCUUAACACAUGCAAGUCGAACGGAAAGGCCCUGCUUUUGUGGGGUGCUCGAGUGGCGAACGGGUGAGUAACACGUGAGUAACCUGCCCUUGACUUUGGGAUAACUUCAGGAAACUGGGGCUAAUACCGGAUAGGAGCUCCUGCUGCAUGGUGGGGGUUGGAAAGUUUCGGCGGUUGGGGAUGGACUCGCGGCUUAUCAGCUUGUUGGUGGGGUAGUGGCUUACCAAGGCUUUGACGGGUAGCCGGCCUGAGAGGGUGACCGGCCACAUUGGGACUGAGAUACGGCCCGGACUCCUACGGGAGGCAGCAGUGGGGAAUAUUGCACAAUGGGCGGAAGCCUGAUGCAGCAACGCCGCGUGCGGGAUGACGGCCUUCGGGUUGUAAACCGCUUUCGCCUGUGACGAAGCGUGAGUGACGGUAAUGGGUAAAGAAGCACCGGCUAACUACGUGCCAGCAGCCGCGGUGAUACGUAGGGUGCGAGCGUUGUCCAGAUUUAUUGGGCGUAAAGGGCUCGUAGGUGGUUGAUCGCGUCGGAAGUGUAAUCUUGGGGCUUAACCCUGAGCGUGCUUUCGAUACGGGUUGACUUGAGGAAGGUAGGGGAGAAUGGAAUUCCUGGUGGAGCGGUGGAAUGCGCAGAUAUCAGGAGGAACACCAGUGGCGAAGGCGGUUCUCUGGGCCUUUCCUGACGCUGAGGAGCGAAAGCGUGGGGAGCGAACAGGCUUAGAUACCCUGGUAGUCCACGCUGUAAACGGUGGGUACUAGGUGUGGGGUCCAUUCCACGGGUUCCGUGCCGUAGCUAACGCUUUAAGUACCCCGCCUGGGGAGUACGGCCGCAAGGCUAAAACUCAAAGGAAUUGACGGGGCCCCGCACAAGCGGCGGAGCAUGCGGAUUAAUUCGAUGCAACGCGUAGAACCUUACCUGGGUUUGACAUGGAUCGGGAGUGCUCAGAGAUGGGUGUGCCUCUUUUGGGGUCGGUUCACAGGUGGUGCAUGGCUGUCGUCAGCACGUGUCGUGAGAUGUUGGGUUAAGUCCCGCAACGAGCGCAACCCUUGUUCACUGUUGCCAGCACGUUAUGGUGGGGACUCAGUGGAGACCGCCGGGGUCAACUCGGAGGAAGGUGGGGAUGACGCCAAGUCAUCAUGCCCCUUAUGUCCAGGGCUUCACGCAUGCUACAAUGGCUGGUACAGAGAGUGGCGAGCCUGUGAGGGUGAGCGAAUCUCGGAAAGCCGGUCUCAGUUCGGAUUGGGGUCUGCAACUCGACCUCAUGAAGUCGGAGUCGCUAGUAAUCGCAGAUCAGCAACGCUGCGGUGAAAAGGUUCCC
rnacentral:rRNA from 1 species